CUGACCAGCACGGUGACGUCGACGGAGACAUCGUGGCACCCGGAUAAAAGCAGCAGCCUUUUCGACGUUCCCUUCAGUGGACUUGGAAGCACUGAACGAGCACGGAUGCUGAUCAAAUUUUUUCUGAUCGCACAGGCGAUCUUUGGAAACUUCAGUGAUACCUGACGACUGGCGAAGGGCCAAAGUAAUACCUGUGCACAAAUCUGGCUCUAAACUCGACUUUCUUCCUCUGGGCUUAAGUGGGACGCUUCUCCAUCAUUGGUGCGAAAGUGCCUCCAGAACCUUCCGGGAUUAUUAGUAAGAAAGCUCGGUAACUUUACAUUA
rnacentral:lncRNA from 1 species